rnacentral:lncRNA from 1 species
AGAACAGAUAAUGAAAACUGCUUUUAACCACAUUCUUGUACAAGUAAUACCAAGAAAGAAAGACAGGAAGGAAGGUGUUUUUAAAAAUUAAAAAUAAAUAAAAGGAAACUUCUCACUAUCCCCUCUGGAUGGCAGCCUUCCCUUGAGGGCAGUACAACCGUAUUUACUCGAAUACUCGCCCUCGCGUAUACUGUAUCUCGCACCCCAAAUUUUACUUGACGAAAAAAUAAAUUAAAAAGUUUCGCAUAUACAUCGCGCAUAAAAAAAAGUUUAAAACUGUAAUAAAUAGACAGUGUUACAGCAGCAGAUAUUUUGGAAUUCGGUAAAAGAGAAUCACCGUUUCAACAAUCGUCUGCUUGCCUUGUAGUCGCGCGAUCUUUUGUUCGGGACAAGCGGUUCAGAAAAUGUGUGUGUGGUUUUAAACUCAAAGUUAUUGAUUUCGCAGAAAAACAUUUUAUAGAUAAUGUGAGCGAUGAGAAUGAAUACUGAGGAUUUAAUUAUAAACGUCAAUUAAUUUUUUUCUGAAAAAUGGCUUAUAUAUCGCACCCCGAUUUUUUUUUACUUGAAUUUUGGGGCUAGAGUGGGAGUUUCUUCUAGGAAAUACGGUACUUGGCAGACGUUUUUUUCUUGCAAUGGGUGGUUUCCAAAGCCUAGUAAGUCCCCCCCCGACCACUGACGUCCACAUACUAAUCUUUAAAGAAUAAUUGGCUGGAUGGAAUAUGAGCGGGACUGAGAGAAUGUGAAACUAAAAAACGGGGAGGGCUGCUUUUGCACAAGGUCAGGUACUUAUGGAGGAAAGAGUGUAUUUCUGCUACAAUAUUAAAGAUAUAAUUUCAGAAAGCAAGGAAACAAGAAAGAAAGAAAGAUCUUGAUGGAACCAUCUUCAUACUAAGUUAUUCUUCUACUACCAUCAUGGACCCAAGAAAGACACCCAGUGCACCACCAUCUGACUGGAACCAAGACAAUAAUUUGGGACUGGUUUACCCACCUCCUCCUUACCAAGAUCAGCCCCAGUACCCCAACCAAGGGGGGUACUACCCAGCACCACAGUAUCAUGGAGGAGCACCCCAGGGUCCACCCUACCCACAGGGACCCCAGCCAGCUGUUAUUGUCCAGCCUACAGUGUACGUCACCCAAACGCCACUAAUGCAUCCUCUGCCAGAUUACCUGGGAUACUCUAUCUUCACCAUGCUGUGCUGCUGCUUGCCACUGGGAAUUGCAGCCUUGGUCUAUUCAAUUUCGACUCGAACUGCCAACAACCACGGUCAACUGGAGAUGGCGAAGACAAACUCACGCCUUGCCCGCAACCUCAACCAUGCUGGGCUAGGUAUAGGCAUUGUCAUCAUUGUUGCUUGGAUCAUUUUUGCUUACAUGAAAAACUAGAUCCACUAAUUUCUAAGUCUUGCUAUGCCUUUUAUCCAUAAUUAUCUACCAUUAAGCUUCGAAAGAAGUAAAUGUUGACUCUUUUGUUUUUUCUAACAUGUAUUUAUGUACAGUUGGUCCGCAUUGCAAACCUUUUUGUGAAGUAUUUACUAUUUAAUUUUCUUAAAGAGGGCUGUCAUACCAAAGAUUUACCUGAUGUGCCAACAAAGAGAGAUCAUGAGUAACAGCCAUUUCCUUAACAUUUUCAAACUUUUGCUCUAGCUCUGGGUAGAGGUUUGAAGGGUGUCUGUUUUGUAUGAUCCAGGGAAUACAUUUUCUUUUCCUUGGGAAAUUAAUUGUGCAGUAUAAUUUAUGCAAAUGCUAGAUCCUUCUUUGAGUAUUGCAAUUUUUGUCCUUAUGGUAUGUGCAUUGACUCAUAACAUGUUGCUGUUUUAGCUAUGCUGCUGUGACCUAGUGCUGUGACUAUAAUAUUAAAUAAACAGAUAGAUAGGUGAUAAGUGGAUGACA